rnacentral:misc_RNA from 1 species
GGUGAAGAACGUAGCGAAAUGCGAUAAGUAAUGCGAAUUGCAGAAUUCCAGUGAGUCAUCGAAUCUUUGAACGCACAUUGCGCCCUUUGGUAUUCCGAAGGGCAUGCCUGUUCGAGCGUCAUUAUCACCCCUCAAGCCCUCGGCUUGGUGUUGGACGGUUUGGUGGAGGCCCCCUCGGGGGCUCCUGCCCCUCCCAAAGACAAUGACGGCGGCCUCGUUGGACCCCCGGUACACUGAGUUCUUCACGGGACACGUAUCGGACACAUGGGUUUACGGGACACGGUCUGCCUCCCCUCAGGGAGAAUCUUUCUAAGGUUGACCUCGGAUCAGGUAGGGAUACCCGCUGAACUUAAGCAUAUCAAUAAGCGGAGGA